AUCAUAUAUAUUAAAACUGGAACAACACAAAGAAAAUGAAUAUGAUCCCUAUGUAAGGAUGAUAUGAAAAUUACUGAAGCACUGCAUAUUUUU
rnacentral:snRNA from 1 species